UCCGCUUACCGGGCAGCCUAGUGGACAUAGCAUCUGCCCGGUAAGCGGAACACUGUGGGUUCGAUUCCCAUCCCUGGAC